GUGGGGAAUAUUGGACAAUGGGCGAAAGCCUGAUCCAGCCAUGCCGCGUGUGUGAAGAAGGUCUUCGGAUUGUAAAGCACUUUAAGUUGGGAGGAAGGGCAGUAAGUUAAUACCUUGCUGUUUUGACGUUACCGACAGAAUAAGCACCGGCUAACUUCGUGCCAGCAGCCGCGGUAAUACGAAGGGUGCAAGCGUUAAUCGGAGUUACUGGGCGUAAAGCGCGCGUAGGUGGAUUUGUAAGUUGGAGGUGAAAUCCCCGGGCUCAACCUGGGAACUGCCUCCAAAACUGCAUGACUAGAGUACGGUAGAGGGUAGUGGAAUUUCCUGUGUAGCGGUGAAAUGCGUAGAUAUAGGAAGGAACACCAGUGGCGAAGGCGACUACCUGGACUGAUACUGACACUGAGGUGCGAAAGCGUGGGGAGCAAACAGGAUUAGAAACCCCUGUAGUCC
rnacentral:rRNA from 1 species